rnacentral:lncRNA from 1 species
UCGAAUCUGUGCUUAGAAACUGGAAGACUUCUAGCCUUCGACUUGUACACUGCCAAAUCAAAACUAACCCGGGUCUGAUUUUCACGAACACAGUGCCCUAACUUUUCAAAACCUGCAUCCAAAAGAGAACCUCUCUUCAACGAAACGGUCAUACAUUUUUCCCUCCUAUGACCAAGUUGCCUCCGCUCCAAACGAGUUGACUU